rnacentral:rRNA from 1 species
CCUACGGGCGGCAGCAGUGGGGAAUAUUGGACAAUGGGGGCAACCCUGAUCCAGCCAUGCCGCGUGUGUGAAGAAGGCCCUCGGGUUGUAAAGCACUUUCAGUGAGGAAGAACGCCUGGUGGUUAAUACCCAUCAGGAAAGACAUCACUCACAGAAGAAGCACCGGCUAACUCCGUGCCAGCAGCCGCGGUAAUACGGAGGGUGCGAGCGUUAAUCGGAAUUACUGGGCGUAAAGCGCGCGUAGGUGGCUUGAUAAGCCGGUUGUGAAAGCCCCGGGCUCAACCUGGGGACGGCAUCCGGAACUGUCAAGCUAGAGUGCAGGAGAGGAAGGUAGAAUUCCCGGUGUAGCGGUGAAAUGCGUAGAGAUCGGGAGGAAUACCAGUGGCGAAGGCGGCCUUCUGGACUGACACUGACACUGAGGUGCGAAAGCGUGGGUAGCAAACAGGAUUAGAUACCCUUGUAGUC